UUAUUUUGAAUGUUCGUUAAUGGAAAAUUUUAAUUUGCUGUUGAAUUUUAGCAGUGUUGUGCGGUUUAAACUUAUGUAAUUGUUAAAAAUGCAAAACCU